rfam:Setaria italica strain Yugu1 chromosome VII, whole genome shotgun sequence.
UGGUGAUGAUGAUAAAGCUAAGGCUUGUUUCUCAACAUUCGCAGUAGCCGCCCAAGAGCUCUCGCCCUGCCAGGCUUGAGAGCUAAUGCUGUUAAAUCCUUCCUUGGAUGUCUGAACCA